rnacentral:rRNA from 1 species
UGGGGAAUUUUGCACAAUGGGGGAAACCCUGAUGCAGCGACGCCGCGUGAUUUAGAAGGCCUUUGGGUUGUAAAAAUCUUUUCUAUGGGAAGAAAAUGACAGUACCAUAGGAAUAAGGACCGGCUAAUUACGUGCCAGCAGCCGCGGUAAUACGUAAGGUCCGAGCGUUGUCCGGAAUCAUUGGGCGUAAAGGGUACGUAGGCGGGUAAGCAAGUUAGAAGUGAAAUCCUAUAGCUCAACUAUAGUAAGCUUUUAAAACUGCUCAUCUUGAGGUAUGGAAGGGAAAGUGGAAUUCCUAGUGUAGCGGUGAAAUGCGCAGAUAUUAGGAGGAAUACCGGUGGCGAAGGCGGCUUUCUGGGCAUAACCUGACGCUGAGGUACGAAAGCGUGGGUAGCAAACAGG